rnacentral:rRNA from 1 species
CUAGCGACUUCAGAGUUUGAUCCUGGCUCAGGAUGAACGCUGGCGGCGUGCAUAACACAUUCAAGUCGAACGGAGUAAAGAGCUUCGGUUCUUUACUUAGUGGCGGACGGGUGAGUAACGCGUGAGCAACCUGCCUUUGUGUGUGGGAUAACGUUUGGAAACGAACGCUAAUACCGCAUGAUGCAAGGAGAUCGCAUGGUCUUUUUGCCAAAGAUUUAUUGCACAAAGAUGGGCUCGCGUCUGAUUAGAUAGUUGGUGAGGUAACGGCCCACCAAGUCGACGAUCAGCAGCCGGACUGAGAGGUUGAACGGCCACAUUGGAACUGAGAAACGGUCCAG